rnacentral:pre_miRNA from 1 species
AAUGGCACUGGUAGAAUUCACGGUUGCUAUGGAAACCCGUGGGUUUUCCGGUGCCAUACG